UUACGGCCAUAUCACUCUGAAACUCCGGUUCUCGUACGAUCUAAAAAAGUUAAGCAACGUCGAGCUUAGUCAGUACCUAGAUGGGUGACCACUUGGGAAUACUAGGUACUGUAAG